GCAAUGGACUCGUCAGUGAAAUACCACUCUUGUAGACUGUAUGUUCUAACCGCGGCGGCAAAAACGUCGCGAAACAGUAUCUGGUGGACAGUUUUAUUGGGGCGAUAUCCUCCUAAAAAGUAACGGAGGAGUUUAUUAAGGUUCCCUAGGCGCGAAUGGAAACCGUGCCGAUAGUGUAUAGGCAUAAGGGAGCUUGACUGCGAGGCGUGCAUGCCAAGCAGGUGCGAAAGCAGAACUAAGUGAACCGACGGUACGCGUUAGAUGCGGCCGGAGAUUAACGGAUAAAAGCUACUCUGGGGAUAACAGGCUAGUUCCGCCCAAGCGUCCAUAGCGACGGCGGAGUUCGGCACCUCGAUGUCGGCUCAGGAUAUCCUGGGGGUGAAGAAGCUCCCAAGGGUUUGGCUGUUCGCCAAUUAAAAUCCUACGCGAGCUGGGUUCAAACCGUUCAGGAGUGGAUGCGAAAGUAUCAACUUUUGAACCCGUUUGAACUCCUCGAGACAUUCCAGAAACAAUCGUCUUUUCGUCUUUUAAGAUGUUGCGUCAACAAGACGUGACAUAGAAUUCUACUUACAUAGAAUUCUAUUAUGAACCAAUCACAUCACGGCGUCCGCUUGUAGCAAUACGUGCGGAAGGCGCUGACUUAUAUCGGUCAAAUCCCUUUGGGGUAAUACCGAGGGAACCCGUUCGAUCGCUUCGCGAUCUCAGGGCGAAUCGUAAACCGAUUCGUCCCGAGGAACGUAAUGACGAGGGACCCGUAGAGACUGAACGUCAGCUAUCUCGAAUGUCGAGAUAAAGCUACAGUCCGAUGCACGCAGUAAUGCGUGAAAACAUGCGUGAGACAGGUUGGUCUCCUAUCUACUGCAGGCGUUGAUUCUUGAGGAGAGCUCUGACCAGUACGAGAGGACCGUCAGGGACUGACCUCUGGUGUAUCGGCUGUUCCGCCAGGAGCACCGCCGAGUAGCUAAGUCGGGAAUGGAUAACCGCUGAAAGCAUCUAAGCGGGAAGCCAACUCCAAGAUGAGGAAUCGUUUGAGACUCGUGGGAGAUGACCACGUUGAUAGGCUUUCGGUGUACGCACGGUAACGUGUUGAGCCAUGAAGUACUAAUGUCGUCGAACUCCUAUUA
rnacentral:ncRNA from 1 species